AGUGAAAAGCGCAGUGUGCUCAUAGAUACUACAUACACACAUGGAUAUGAAACAGGAAGUCGGUAUCCAAUUAACUCUUUGAAGUUCACCUGUAAACGUCAUAACCAGCAUAGCUCUAUCCUUGGCGCUUUUCCUCUGUCUAUGUUUUCAAGAAUUUUCUUGACUCACUUAUUUUUGUGAAAGAAGGCCUCAUGUUUACAUGACAAAAUUAGAAGACCUCCAUUUUUAUUUGUAACCACCUUUUCUAGACUCUCGAACGGAGUUAGCUAUGAGAACUGAGUAGUGAAAGAAUAGGUUAUUUACCAAGGAACACAAGCAGGAUGUCAGUGGCAUUGAUGAGACAUUGUUACAUGAUUGUAAAGCUUCAUAUUUAUGCUACCACAGAGGAGUACUAUCAAGAUAGAGAUGAUGUACAUUACAGUAUGUACUGUAUGGUGAUACAUUAAAAUUUGUUGAAAGACUCAUAAUAAUAAUCAAUCUAUUGG